AGAAUACCUCGAAUCGAAAUAGUAAUAUAGUAUCCCAUACUAUCCAUUUUUGCCAAAACGAACCGUCUUUCUCUACUCAUAUAUGUUUUCAUGAUUUUGCUUAUUUUGCUUGAUCACUGCAUUUGGUUUGCCUAUGAACACGAAACAUUCCCCAUUUCUCCAUUUUUUUGAUCUUUUCCUACCCCAUUUCCCCUCCUGAUCGUUCCUCAUUUCCCCAUUUUCUGAUUUUCCUUUAGAUCAUCUUCUUCCAAUUUCUUUCUUCUUACCCGUAAACCCUCAUCCUUCCACCAUUAAUGGCUACCUCUGCUGCUGCACGGUCUCUUUUUACGUCGCUCUACCACCAUUGCGUGGUUCACCAUUUCCAAAUCAAAUUUCAACCUAUUUCCUCACUCCUUUCGACUUUCUAAACAAAACCCUCUAUCGUCUCCUCGCAUUUUUAGAUGUUGAACAAUCGACACUCCUUUCGUUGAAGACAUUUGACUCUACUCUUGGUAUUCUAAAUUACGAAGACUUAACCAUUUGAAGCAGAUCUCCAAAGGGCUUUUAGAGUAGUAUGGCCCUGAAAAGGUUAUUGAUACUCCUAAAACAGAGGUUUGUUUCUUGAGCAGAGUAGAAGUUCUCCUUUUAUAUGAGUAUUAUUUUUAUAAUCCUUUUAAUUUGCUUUUUUAAAUGAUUGUGGUAUGCUUUUAUAAUUGUAUUGGUUCAAUCUUAUCUGAGAAAUUGAGUUGCCAAGUUUUCUAGUUUUCCCUUUAAUUUGACUGUAAGAUAAUGGCUUCUUUAGCUAGGUUCUUUAAGGAAAACCAGAUUUUGACCUUAUAUGAAUGGUUCUAGGAUACAAUAUGACCUUUCUUUAGUGAAUGAGAUGUAGUUUCCGCGAGACUGCUAGCAUUAAGGGUUUGCUAUGAACUCUUACCAACUUAUUUUAUUUCUUACUUCCUCCGUUCCAUAUUACUUGCACCGAACAAAUUUUUGCACUAUUCAUCAUUCUAUGGUAAUGUACAUAUUUCGUUUAUGACACGAGAAAAAAACUUAGUCAUGUGAGAUCUUUUAUUCGUAUCAUUGCAUAUUUUUAUUAUAUCAAAUUUUUAUAGUUUUUAGUUAAGUAUAACUCUAGAUAUAGACGAUCCGACAAACGUAUUGGAUUACGCAAAAAUGUGUUUGGUGCAAACAUUUCUAGACGGACAUUUAUGGCACCUGAUACCAUAUGUUGGCAUUGCUAUUCUCAUAUACCAUAUAGCUUGUCGAGGGGAUGCAAGGUUUAGGCUAAGAUAUGUGCUGCUAUGAUGGUGUGGUUUGAUGAUGAUGAAUGCUGACACGUAGAGGCUUGAGCCUUGAUGUGAGAUGGGCAGCUUUGUCUUCAUGGUGGCAACCUUGGCGCGAUUGCAAGGUAGUUGAAUGAAGGAAUGUUUGAAUGUUUCGAGGCUUGGGUACUUACUACGACUUGCUAAUGUUGUUUCAUUUGAUGGGGGUAUUGUUGUGCCGACAACGCUACCGUGUUUCUUGACGAGCCAAACCCGAGCAUUGGUAUUUAUGAUGUUCUUGACAAUCAUACAUAGACAAGCCCUAAGCAUUGGUAUCAAUGAUGUUUAGGAAAUCAUACAUGGACAAGACUUGGACAUUGGUGUUUAUUAAGACCAAACCAGCAGCAACAAGAGCACCAACACACACCGCUCCAUGCCAAAGUUUCUCCCAUCUUUGUUCCAAUAGUACUAGGAAAAUUAGAUUGGUUAUAUUGUUUAUCAAUUUUAAAUUAGCCGUACUAAGUUGUGUAGCAAGGCAUCAAUUUUAUUGUUUAUCACAUGCAAAUGCAAUGAUUCUAUAUCAUACCUUCCUUUUAUUGAUGAUUUCCUCUCACUCCCAUGCCAAUUAGUAUGGUUUUUGACUAAAUCACUUAUGAUGUUAAAAGGCGGCAUCGAGAAGCUUGUUCAUAAUAGGACCUCUAGUUCUCAUAUCAAGACUAAUUUAUCUUUCAUUAGAGAGGUAUGGAUGAAGGAGAGUGCACUUUUUCAUGCCAUGGUGUGGACACUCCCGGAUGUUACCCCAAAAUCUCUCCCAUGCUUCGCUUAAGUUCUCAUCGGGCUCUUGUCUAAAUACCACUAGCUUGCUGCAGAUGUCGAUGGUCUUUUCUAAGGAGUAGAAGUGAACCAUGAAUACUUUUGUGACCUCACUCCAUGUGGUGAGAGAGUUUGGUGGUAGCUCCUCCAACCAAUUUAGAGUCUUUUCCGUCAAAGUGAAAUGGAAGAACCUCAUAAGAAGAGCCUCUUAUGGUGCCUCAUAAGAAGAACCUCCAAAUUGAAUUUGUUGAAGUACGGAAAGGAGACAGUAUUUCAUUUGGAAGUUGUUACUAGUUGGACUUUGAAUGCCACUUUAUAGCUCAAAGGCAUACGAAAGCCUAUACCCCCUCAAUGUUCUUCCAUUCACGCACGCCAUUUCCUUAUUAUAGUUUUCUUGUGUUAUUUCUUCUUCACUUGUAACGUAAUUCUUCGUGGGGAAGACUAUUCUUGAACACGCCUAUUUCCUCUUUGUCUUGUUCGAGGUCUACCCCUCCAAUGUAGUUGGGCAAUAGGAAUGCCGUCUUUGUAAUUAUCUAUUUGUGAAGAUGAAUUGCUUUUGGAUCUUCUACUUAUAUACAACAAGCACAACUAAAGAUAUUGUUACCAAUGACUAGCAAGAAUGUCCUUUUAAGAAAGGAAAAAUUACCGUGAAUAAUACAAUUUUUUGUUAAUUUUCCUACAAUAAUACCAAGUAUUAAUUAACCAUGAAUAAUACCAACUUAAAGGGGUGUUUUCCUAGAAAAUCCUCAACAUAUUAAAAAUUAAAUUAUAGGUGAUUAUAAGACAAAAAAAAUUAGUAUAUUAGUUAAUAAAUCAAAGUUGGUAUUAUUCUAGGAAAAUAACACACUAAGUUGGUAUUAUUCAUGGUUAAUCAAUAAUUGAUAUUAUUGUAAGAAAAUCAACAAAAUGUUGUAUUAUUCAUGGUAAUUUUUCUUUUCAGAAAAAUGAUGAAAAGUAUCUCAAAAAGAAAAAAAGAAAGAAAAAUGAUGAAGCACUUAUGUUUUUUAUUUUACUUAUUUUUAUGAAUGCAAUUAGCAAGAGCCUAAGAUCAUGAAAACCAUUUUUACUCGAUGCUUAAUAAAAUGCCUCUCCGGCGAUGACGCCAUUUUUUUUGUUGAGAAUGGGAUUAAGCGUAGUUCCUACGAAGCUUCCUAGGGUCGUUGGAUGCACUAGGUUCGCUUCACACAAAGAGUAAGAUAAGGUCACCCAACCAACCGUUAUAACUAGCAUAGGGUAAGGGGUCGAGUCCACGGGAAGUCUUGAUUAAGAGGUCAAUGAGACAACGGUGAUACCACAAUCUAGGCUAAUCUUUUUGGUUGGAUUGUUUGAUUAAAUAGUAGUGCAAGAUUUAAUAAUAUGACACAAAUACUAGGGGUAGGGUCUCAACUUAUUCAACACGUUAUGGUAAAACAUGAAGCCCUCAAUGGAAUUGUGGGUAAUAGUGAUAAUUUAGGGAUCAUUGAAUUGGUAAUCUAGCCCUUCUUUCAAGAGUCCUAGAAUUAAUCAAGCCAAUUCUACUUGUUUCAUCUUUCAAUUCGUCAAGUAGCAUAUAUGUUAUGCAUUCCGGAUUUCUCUACACCAAUGCAAGGAAUAAAGGCAGGUGAGGUUCUUAGCAUGUUCAACAUGUUCGAUCGCACAGGACCCCAAAAAAUUUAGUGCCUGAAUAUUAAAUUUUGUGGUAUAUGUUAUGUGUUUAAAAAUACAAAGCUGUUAGAAAAUAUCAUAAUUUUUAAAAUUGUACAAGGCCUUUAAAAAGUUUGUCAAAUUUUACUCCGCACCUAAAUAAAGCAAGCUUUGUAAGUUGUAACCAUAGUCAAUCUCGAUAACCAACAACAUGCAUGUGAAUUUCAUACAUGGAUAAUGUCAUCUAUGUUCAAUCUUUCAAUUGUAAACCAAGAAUCAAUAAAUUUAAGCACUCCAAGUGGCCAACAAGAAGCAUAUCAAUAAUCGAUCCAUGCAAUUCAUCAAAACCGUUCUUCGCUAUUGUCACCUUCAAUUUUACAUCACCAUGAACAUGGUUGGGAUGAGUUGUCACCCAUCCUCUAGUUGAUGAACUACUCACAAGCCAUAAAAUUAAUUGGAUUGAAAUGUUUGAAAUUGAGAUUACAAAGACUAAAAACUUGGAAUCUUCAAGGAGAUGGUU